rnacentral:rRNA from 1 species
AACGAACGCUGGUGGCAUGCCAAACACAUGCAAGUCGAACGAGACCUUCGGGUCUAGUGGCGCACGGGUGCGUAACGCGUGGGAACCUGCCCUUAGGUUCGGAAUAACUCCCCGAAAGGGGUGCUAAUACCGGAUAAUGUCUUCGGACCAAAGAUUUAUCGCCUUUGGAUGGGCCCGCGUUGGAUUAGCUAGUUGGUAGGGUAAAAGCCUACCAAGGCGACGAUCCAUAGCUGGUCUGAGAGGAUGAUCAGCCACACUGGGACUGAGACACGGCCCAGACUCCUACGGGAGGCAGCAGUGGGGAAUAUUGGACAAUGGGCGAAAGCCUGAUCCAGCAAUGCCGCGUGAGUGAUGAAGGCCUUAGGGUUGUAAAGCUCUUUUACCCGGGAUGAUAAUGACAGUACCGGGAGAAUAAGCUCCGGCUAACUCCGUG